AGUGAACGCUGGCGGUAGGCCUAACACAUGCAAGUCGAACGGCAGCACAGGAGAGCUUGCUCUCUGGGUGGCGAGUGGCGGACGGGUGAGGAAUACAUCGGAAUCUACCUUUUCGUGGGGGAUAACGUAGGGAAACUUACGCUAAUACCGCAUACGACCUUCGGGUGAAAGCAGGGGACCUUCGGGCCUUGCGCGGAUAGAUGAGCCGAUGUCGGAUUAGCUAGUUGGCGGGGUAAAGGCCCACCAAGGCGAAGAUCCGUAGCUGGUCUGGGAGGAUGAUCCGCCACACUGGAACUGAAACACGGGCAAGACUCCGACGGGAGUCAGCAGUGGGGAAUAUUGGACAAUGGGCGCAAGCCUAAUCCAGCCAUACCGCGUGGGUGAAGAAGGCCUUCGGGUUGUAAAGCCCUUUUGUUGGGAAAGAAAAGCAACCAGUUAAUACCCGGUUGUUCUGACGGUACCCAAAGAAUAAGCACCGGCUAACUUCGUGCCAGCCGCCGCCGUAAAAC
rnacentral:rRNA from 1 species